GUUUGAAAACAGAACUCCAGGCAUGUGAAUCAUUAGCCCAGCUUCCUGACAGCAAAGGACAGGGUCUGACACUCCAAGAAUCUGUGGCUGUUUGACCUGAGUGCCGGCUACAAAUUAAUAAUAAAAUGACUUGGAGCCUUCAGAAGAAUACACUGUUCAAUGGAUCUAAGUUGGUACAGACAGACAUCCUGUGUGAGAACAUGUGGACAUCACUAAAGAGUGGCUAUUUCAAAAGCUAAGUUGAACAGAGAGAGAAGGGACAGAGACAGACAGAGAAAGCAAAUUCUGAUAUCAUGAGUGAGAGGGGAGGCAUCAGUAUAGAUCCUACAAACACUAGGAUAAUAAUAAGAGAAUACCAGGUACAACUUGACACAAUAAAUAGAAGUUAGAAGACAUCGAGAAGUCUCUUAGGGGAAAAAAAAAAACAAAAAACUAAGCUGGCUCCGCCUGAGGCUUUGGGACAAAUUUGUAACUGCAUUUCCAAACUAAAGGAAUGAUGUCUACAAUUCACUGUCCCACUUCCUGUGUGCCGUGCAAAUUCUAGGGGUCAUAAAUUCACAAAGUC
rnacentral:lncRNA from 1 species